rnacentral:rRNA from 1 species
GAUGAACGCUGGCGGCGUGCCUAAUACAUGCAAGUCGAGCGAACAGACGAGGAGCUUGCUCCUCUGACGUUAGCGGCGGACGGGUGAGUAACACGUGGAUAACCUACCUAUAAGACUGGGAUAACUUCGGGAAACCGGAGCUAAUACCGGAUAAUAUAUUGAACCGCAUGGUUCAAUAGUGAAAGACGGUUUUGCUGUCACUUAUAGAUGGAUCCGCGCCGCAUUAGCUAGUUGGUAAGGUAACGGCUUACCAAGGCAACGAUGCGUAGCCGACCUGAGAGGGUGAUCGGCCACACUGGAACUGAGACACGGUCCAGACUCCUACGGGAGGCAGCAGUAGGGAAUCUUCCGCAAUGGGCGAAAGCCUGACGGAGCAACGCCGCGUGAGUGAUGAAGGUCUUCGGAUCGUAGAACUCUGUUAUUGGGGAAGAACAAAUGUGUAAGUAACUAUGCACGUCUUGACGGUACCUAAUCAGAAAGCCACGGCUAACUACGUG